rnacentral:rRNA from 1 species
CCUACGGGUGGCUGCAGUCGAGAAUCAUUCACAAUGGGGGAAACCCUGAUGGUGCGACGCCGCGUGGGGGAAUGAAGGUCUUCGGAUUUUAAACCCCUGUCAUGUGGGGGCAAAUUAAAAAGAUAGUACCACAAGAGGAAUAGACGGCUAACUCUGUGCCAGCAGCCGCGGUAAUACAGAGGUCUCAAGCGUUGUUCGGAAUCACUGGGCGUAAAGGGGGCGUAGGCUGUUUCGUAAGUCGUGUGUGAAAGGCGCGGGCUCAACCCGCGGACGGCACAUGAUACUGCGAGACUAGAGUAAUGGAGGGGGAACCGGAAUUCUCGGGGUAGCAGUGAAAGGCGUAGAUAUCGAGAGGAACACUCGUGGCGAAGGCGGGUUCCUGGACAUUAACUGACGCUGAGGCACGAAGGCCAGGGGAGCGAAAGGGAUUAGAUACCCGUGUAGUC